UACAGAGGUCUCAAGCGUUGUUCGGAUUCAUUGGGCGUAAAGGGUGCGUAGGUGGCGCUGUAAGUCGGGUGUGAAAUUUCGGAGCUUAACUCCGAAACUGCAUUCGAUACUGCGGUGCUUGAGGACUGGAGAGGAGACUGGAAUUCAUGGUGUAGCAGUGAAAUGCGUAGAGAUCAUGAGGAAGACCAGUGGCGAAGGCGGGUCUCUGGACAAGUUCCUGACACUGAGGCACGAAGGCCAGGGGAGCAAAACGGG
rnacentral:rRNA from 1 species